rnacentral:rRNA from 1 species
UAAGACGAACCGUGCGAACGUUAUUCGGAAUCAUUGGGCUUAAAGCGCGUGUAGGCGGGUCGGCGCGUCGGUCGCUGAAAGCCCCCGGCUCAACCGGGGAAUUGGCACCGAUACGGCCGUCCUGGAGGGGAGGAGAGGGACCUGGAACUUCCGGUGGAGCGGUGAAAUGCGUUGAGAUCGGAAGGAACGCCGGUGGCGAAAGCGAGGUCCUGGACUCUUACUGACGCUGAGACGCGAAAGCCAGGGGAGCGAACGGGAUUAGAUACCCCGGUAGUCCUGGCCGUAAACCAUGGGCACUGGGCGGCGAGCUCGCCGAUGGGCACGUCGCCGCAGCGAAAGCGUCAAGUGCCCCGCCUGGGGAGUAUGGUCGCAAGGCUG